rnacentral:lncRNA from 1 species
UCUGAGGGGUUGAAGUAGUCGGCGACGUUGACUGUAAGCAGUGCGUGGCGUUGUUGGUUGGCUCGUAAAGCUGCCACCGAGCGCAGCAGACUCACAUGAGCUCCGACCCACACAAUCUGUCGUUGGGUGCUCGGCAAGUUAGCCGUACGGAUUACGGAAGAUCAUGCAUAUGCAUCAGGUGAGAUAAAUAACGUAUUAGAACCAAUAUCGACCAAUCACACGAAGGAGUACUUCAAAUCAGAUAUAUGAUAGGAAGAAGAAAAAUAAUAGAAAGAUUAUUUCCUUGUUCACAUAUACCUCUUGUAGAGGCAAACGUGGAGUCAACGUCAGGAAGCAGGGAUAUAGGAAUCCACCCGCACCCUUCGCGUGCUUGUCAAACCGAUGCAGAUGGAAUCAUGGCCGGCGGCAGUUUUGGUGUAGAUGAGUACAGCUAGAGCAGCAACUAUGAUUACAGAGAGCGUGUUGGUGGCAGCUGUUUGCCCCGUAC